GACGAACGCUGGCGGCGCGCCUAACACAUGCAAGUCGAACGAGCGAGUCAGGGCUUGCUUUCUUGAGCUAGUUGCGAACGGGUGAGUAACCCGUGAGGAACCUGCCUCACAGAGGGGGACAACAUUUGGCAACGACUGCUAAUACCGCAUAAGCCCACGGUCCCGUAUGGCACCGAGGGAAAAAGAGCAUUCCGCUUUGAGAUGGCCUCGCGUCGGAUUAGCUAGUUGGUGAGGUAACGGCCCACCAAGGCGACGAUCGGUAGCCGGACUGAGAGGUUGAGCGGCCACAUUGGGACUGAGACACGGCCCAGACUCCUACGGGAGGCAGCAGUGGGGAAUAUUGCACAAUGGGGGAAAGCCUGAUGCAGCGACGCCGCGUGAAUGAUGAAGGUCUUAGGAUUGUAAACUCCUUUUGUUGGGGAAGAUAAUGACGGUACCCGGAGAAGAAGCGACGGCUAACUACGUG
rnacentral:rRNA from 1 species